CUACUUGUAAUUUUUGAGAGAGGCUUUUUUUAAAAUAAGUGCAUUCCUUGUCUGUUCUAUUUCUUGAGCACGUGGGAAACUCGAUAAAAUGGAAAUCGUUACUGUUUAUAAAUCAGCGCAGUUACAGGGUCUGUCUCGGGGCUAUCCCUCUUUGGAAGGAUGGAGGAAAACAACUUUUUUUGCAAUUACUUGGUAUUUUGGCUGAUGAAUCUGAGGCAAGAGGAGAGAUUUCCCAUUUUGAGGGGAAAGAGCUGGCCAAGACAAGCCCUCGACAUUCCUUUCUUGUCUUGCUAGAAAAUCUACAUUUCAAGAUUGCCUUGAAGAAAUGGAAAACCCGCUGGCUAAAGGGUUUCAUCAGCUCGGUAUCACUGAGCAGUAAGGUUGCUUUCAGUCUGCUCUACUCAACUCUCUGUGCCACCACAUCAGUUGCCCUUUGACCCACAGAAAUUGGCAGUUUCAUCUCUUUAACUUUCACCCCCAGCUUUCAGUUAUGAGAAAAAAAUAAUGAAUAGAUAACAACCCGCCUGACUAAUAAAGCUUCUAUAUUGAUGUGAAACACCUGUA